rnacentral:rRNA from 1 species
ACUGGGCGUAAAGCGCACGCAGGGCGGUUUGUUAAGUCAGAUGUGAAAAUCCCCGGGCUCAACCGUGGGAACUGCAUCUGAUACUGGCAAAGCUUGAGUCUCGUAGAGGGGGGGUAGAAUUCCAGGUGUAGCGGUGAAAUGCGUAGAGAUCUGGAGGAAUACCGGUGGCGAAGGCGGCCCCCUGGACGAAGACUGACGCUCAGGUGCGAAAGCGUGGGGAGCAAACAGGAUUAGAUACCCUGGUAGUCCACGCCGUAAACGAUGUCGACUUGGAGGUUGUGCCCUUGAGGCGUGGCUUCCGGAGCUAACGCGUUAAGUCGACCGCCUGGGGAGUACGGCCGCAAGGUUAAAACUCAAAUGAAUUGACGGGGGCCCGCACAAGCGGUGGAGCAUGUGGUUUAAUUCGAUGCAACGCGAAGAACCUUACCUGGUCUUGACAUCCACGGAAGUUUUCAGAGAUGAGAAUGUGCCUUCGGGAACCGUGAGACAGGUGCUGCAUGGCUGUCGUCAGCUCGUGUUGUGAAAUGUUGGGUUAAGUCCCGCAACGAGCGCAACCCUUAUCCUUUGUUGCCAGCGGUCCGGCCGGGAACUCAAAGGAGACUGCCAGUGAUAAACUGGAGGAAGGUGGGGAUGACGUCAAGUCAUCAUGGCCCUUACGACCAGGGCUACACACGUGCUACAAUGGCGCAUACAAAGAGAAGCGACCUCGCGAGAGCAAGCGGACCUCAUAAAGUGCGUCGUAGUCCGGAUUGGAGUCUGCAACUCGACUCCAUGAAGUCGGAAUCGCUAGUAAUCGUGGAUCAGAAUGCCACGGUGAAUACGUUCCCGGCCCUUGUACACACCGCCCGUCACACCAUGGGAGUGGGUUGCUAAAAGAUAGUAGGUAGCUUAACCUUCGGGA